UCCACAGGGACUGUUUAUCCAACUGAAGUCCAACAGUGUCACACUCUCUCCCAGCUGCACUGAGGGGAAAUAAGUCACCCAGGACAAACGCAACGACUAAUAACAUCCAGACAUGUCUAGCUAGUGCUCUCUGAUGUUCAGUAUGAAUACUGUUUAACUUAGAUAGAAAUGAACUUAUAUUGCCUAAUUGGUUUGAGUCUAAAGGGGGUGAGAGAAGGAGGGUUAUGAUGAGAUCAAUAACUCACUGAGUGAAUCUGUCCCUCUCAAGACUGCCAUCACUCCAUCAGCAUGCAAUAACGCUGGACUCAAUUCCAGGUUCCCGCAGUGUGGAGGGAUUCUCAUCAGCCUGUGGCAGUAUUUAAACCAUACAGCCUAGAGUAUGAUUCAAACUCUAGCGUGGAAUGUUAGAAGUGCCCGUGAUGUAAUGUUCAAUAUUGAUAACGACCGUGAGCAAGAUGGGUUCUAAUCGUUUAUGAAAAUAUUGUGCAGCCAGCAUGCAUUUUCCCCCUACUGUUCCCUUUCCCUCCUGCUUCUUCACUACAUCUAUCGGCUCUUUCUGAUAGGAAGAAAUCCACAAACACCUUCGCACCUCCUAUCAAAUGAGCUCCUGUAGAAACGCAACACUGUCAGAGAAGUGGCUCUGUGCACGCAAGGUGUAAGGUCCCUGGGGUGUUUUGUAAGCAUCAUUGCCAACUGGAUUCAAAGUAUAUUUUAGGCCUCUACUAAAGGCAUCUGUGGAUCUCAUGAACUGUGGAUUUCUUCUUGGCCACACAAACUAAACUCAAGGAUUAAAGAGUAGGCAUAUCAUAGUGUCGGGCAACAGGGCAGUACUGUUACUGAGUGGUAUUGAUGGGUUUGCUUUGAAAUGGUAAUGAUAGUAAUCAUCUCUGACACUAUUUUGUUUAAACUGUCCUCAAAGAAGUGGAUUGUGGUUUUAGACAUUAUAACAACUGGUGUCUUGGUCUGUAUGGUACCUCGUCCUGUUCCAGCAACAUAGUCUCAGUGCCACGCCCAGACAAAACGUUGAGGAAUGUGAACCUGAAGGUUCUGCCCAUGGAGACCCACCCUGGAGGCAGACCAUUCAGAACGCCUCAGCCCAGAAACCAGCCUGAUGGUGAUCUCGUACACUUUGCACUCCUCUCUUUUCUAUACUAUUCCUUCUUGAUCCCUCUGUCCUAUAUGUCCUAUAUGUCCUAUAUGUAAUUAACUCAACGUUUCAGGAUAAUAAUCCUAUACCAGCGAGAACUCUCUGUAACCUUUGUAAAAUACAGAAUAGAAAUAGGAUUCCCCCCUCAUUUCUAAUCUGAGAAAUAAAUUAAAAUAACUGGACUAAUUUGCCUUUGAAGUUUUUAAUGAUAAUUUGCCUCUUAGGUUUUCUGUAUAUAAAAUAUGCCCUAAACUUAAUGCCUGCCUUAAAGUAGACUUUCAUGGUUUAAACUUGCUCUUGUACAGAUUCCUCUGAUCAGCACAACACUGUCAUUGGCACAGAAAGGAGCAAUAGUAGAAUCACUUUUAUGGAUGAGUUUGAUCUGAAUGGUCAAGAACAAGGAGGGGAGAGACUGUCAACACUACAAUAGAAAAGUGUAGUGAUAAUGGUGUGUGUGCCUCCCUACCUGCGUGGAAAGAGAAAGAGAAGAGGGGAA